rnacentral:rRNA from 1 species
GGAGGCAGCAGUGGGGAAUUUUCCGCAAUGGGCGAAAGCCUGACGGAGCAAGACCGCGUGGGGGAAGAAGGCUCUUGGGUUGUAAACCCCUUUUCUCUGGGAAGAACGCAAUGACGGUACCAGAGGAAUCAGCAUCGGCUAACUCCGUGCCAGCAGCCGCGGUAAGACGGAGGAUGCAAGCGUUAUCCGGAAUGAUUGGGCGUAAAGCGUCCGCAGGUGGCAGUUCAAGUCUGCUGUCAAAGACCGGGGCUCAACCUCGGAAAGGCAGUGGAAACUGAACAGCUAGAGUAUGGUAGGGGCAAAGGGAAUUCCUGGUGUAGCGGUGAAAUGCGUAGAGAUCAGGAAGAACAUCGGUGGCGAAGGCGCUUUGCUGGACCAUAACUGACACUCAGGGACGAAAGCUAGGGGAGCGAAUGGGAUUAGAUACCCCAGUAGUCCUAGCCGUAAACGAUGGAUACUAGGUGUUGUCUGUAUCGACC